UUCUUUUCCACAGAUCUGAGUUAUGUCAUCAGUCAGUCAAGAACUUUUGCCUUUUCAACUAAAUGAGGCCUUGCCCAACUUACCCUGAGCAUGUCUGAGCUAUCACUACCCCUGUGCUCUGGCGCCAUGAUUACUAAGCUCCCUGUGGGGAAGAAUCCAAGGCCACCUCCAGCUCGGACAGUUGGGGAAGGGACAUGGAAAAAUGUUUCCGGAAUUAUCUACAGAUCCAGAGAAGAGGCUGCUACACGAAGAGGUAAAGACGUUACGAAGCUGGGCAACUGGAGCAUGGGGCUUCACAUCUCAGUUUGCGUGAGUUAGUCCAGAAAACAAGAGCCUGGGUGGGUGGUGCAUGUCUGUAAUCCAGCAUCUGGGAGGAUGAGGCAAGAGGGUUGUUCAAGCCCCAGGCCAGUCUGGGCUAUGCAGUCACAAAACUUGGCCUCCUGGCUCCAACACAAAGGAAAAAGACCCAUCAAGUCAAACAAGCAACCAUCGAGGAUAACACAAAGCAACAAUGAAAACAAACAAAGAACACACUUGCCUCUGAGACCUGAUUGGCUGCUGCACUGGUAGAAGUAUCUUCAGUAGGCGUGGGUUCACCACAGUAACAAGAGAGUUUGUUGGCAUCUUCAUGCUUCUACAAGAAAGUGAGUGGUUCCUAGGACAGCCCUAAGCAGAACCGAGUUAGACUGCCCUGCAAUGGCGCCAUGGCCUGGAACCAGUACCCGAGUCAUCAGGGAAGAUGAGACACUCCAGAGGGGGAAUUUGACGGAAAUAUUUUGUUCCUCUGAUGGCCUCUCAGGGGCACACACUAUAGUUUAUUUGAUCUGUAGGUCCCAAGAUAAUGUGCCCCAUUCCAAUUGGAAGAUC